rnacentral:tRNA from 1 species
CUUUAGAGAGCUGUAAUCUUAGCACUAGCCUUUUAAGCUAGCGAAAAUACUCUUGUUAUUUCUAAAGA